CAAUGGCGUAUAUUAAAGUUGUUGCAGUUAAAAAGCUCGUAGUUGGAUUUCUGGUGGGAGCGAUCGGUCUGGCGCUUAGCGCGAGUACUUGCAUCGUCUCCGGCCAUCCUUGGGGAAAGUCUGUCUGGCAUUAAGUUGUCGGGCAGAGGAUCCUCAUCGUUUACUGUGAAAAAAUUAGAGUGUUCAAAGCAGGCUUAUGCCGUUGAAUAUAUUAGCAUGGAAUAAUAAGAUAGGACUUUGGUACUAUUUUGUUGGUUUGCGCACCAAAGUAAUGAUUAAUAGGGACAGUUGGGGGUAUUCGUAUUCCGUUGUCAGAGGUGAAAUUCUUGGAUUUACGGAAGACGAACUACUGCGAAAGCAUUUACCAAGGAUGUUUUCAUUAA
rnacentral:rRNA from 1 species